UCACUAAAUAAAUCCGUAUCCUUAUAGUAAAGGUGUUGUGCUUCUCUUCACAUAACUUUUCUUACAUUUUGAGUGCCUUUUGGCACUAUCAGUAACCAAAGUAAAGUCACUUACAACUCUGAAUGCUCUAGUGCAGAAACACCAGUGACUACAUUUCUCAUGAACCUUCUGCUUGAAUAAGUCGACAUCACCUCGACAGACGACGCCUGAAUUCACAGACCAUGGCCAUCGCCCAUAAUAAUUUGUAUGUAUAUAAGAGAAAUCUGUCAUAAACAAAAGGGAUUUCACCUUUACACAGUUAAUACAAAAGAAUGACCUAAAAUCAAAUGCCUCUAGAUUAAACAAAAAUCGAGAACAGAAUUGUUCACCCAUCAGCAUGAAAGGAAUGGUGUGCUUUAUACAGAAAGGAAUGAUGUGCUUUAUAAAAGUGAGCACACUACAUGGAUGCAAUGGUCGUGUGGUGAUAAUCUGCAUCGAGAUUGGUCAUUCAUAUUUCAUCUAUGAUCUGUAAAUAGUCGAAAAAGAAAUUCCACUUCAAGAUGAAAAACACAAUAGCAUGGGUAUUGAAUUGCAAGAUGGGCCUUGUUUCAAAACUAUAUCACAUCCCACUGGUGGUACUGUUUUCCUUUUAUUGUAAACGGCCUAAUUCCCAAACAGCCAUGUUUCCGACAAUAGAGUUAUCAGAAAAUUUAAGAGAAUUCCAUCGCAAAAUCUGCAAAAAUCUAAAACCUACACAAAGAUCAAAGAGAAUUACUUCGAAGAACACUCUGAAAUUUGUGUGACCUUACAUGCACACAACAACUGUGAUCUAACUCUUCUUUUUGCAGGCUUAUGAUCUAUUUCCUUGAAAAUCAAAAUAUAUGCUUCAUAGUAUCUCCUUCUGUUUAGUACAGAACCUUGACCAUGAAACAUGAUCACAAAUUCAGAUUUUCUAUACUGCAAGUUCAUGCUAGAACCAGAUAUUCACUUGUGAUAUAUGGAUCAAGCAAUAGAGAGAGAGAGGGGGGGAUUGGGAACUUACAACUGAGGAUGUGAGUGGACGAAAGGGACAGCCUCGAUUCAUCUGUCGUCCAAAGCCGCCAUGAAAAGGGGGGCAGAGAUGGUGGGGUUGACUUGCUGCAUAAGGCCAGCAGUGGUUGUGUUACUGAGUUAUAAGCAAAGAUGAAAUGAACAUUCAAAGCCAGCUAUCAUCCAGG
rnacentral:lncRNA from 1 species